rnacentral:rRNA from 1 species
GAUGAACGCUGGCGGCGUGCUUAACACAUGCAAGUCGAACGGAAAGGCUCCUGCUUGCCGGGGUACUCGAGUGGCGAACGGGUGAGUAACACGUGGGUGAUCUGCCCUGCACUUCGGGAUAAGCCUGGGAAACUGGGUCUAAUACCGGAUAGGACGAUGGUUUGGAUGCCAUUGUGGAAAGUUUUUCGGUGUGGGAUGAGCUCGCGGCCUAACAGCUUGUUGGUGGGGUAAUGGCCUACCAAGGCGUCGACGGGUAGCCGGCCUGAGAGGGUGUACGGCCACAUUGGGACUGAGAUACGGCCCAGACUCCUACGGGAGGCAGCAGUGGGGAAUAUUGCACAAUGGGCGCAAGCCUGAUGCAGCGACGCCGCGUGGGGGAUGACGGCCUUCGGGUUGUAAACUCCUUUCGCUAGGGACGAAGCGCAAGUGACGGUACCUGGAGAAGAAGCACCGGCUAACUACGUG